rnacentral:pre_miRNA from 1 species
GAUUUCAACUGAAAAAGUCAUCAACAAUAAAGUUGUAUAACUAAUCAAGAUCUAUAACUUUUAUUUUGAUCAUUUCUUCAUCCGAUAAAGUGAUAGUAACAUUGUUCAUAAAAUUUACAUUUCUCUCAUAUGAUUUUAUAAACUAUAAGAGAGAUAUACAAAUUUUAUGAACAAUUUUACUAUAACUUUGUCGGAUGAAAAAAUGAUCAAAAUAAAAGUUGUAUGCCUUGAUGAGUUCUACAACUCUUAUGUUCAUGACUUUUUCAGCUGAAAUU